CUACUGGUCAUGAACAUAAGCCCCUGGAGACUGUUUCUGCGAAUGCUUCAUUUAUCCCUUGCUCUCUCCUGACCGUCCAGCUCCAUUUAGCGCAGUAGAAAGAUGUCGAUCGCGGCGUUAGUCUCGAUUUUGACGAUCCUAGCUGUUGCUCAUGCAUUUUAGGCAGGGGCAAACGUUGCACUCUACGCUUUGCGUGCCAGUUCUGUCCUGUUUGCGCGGUGCCUCGGUAAGCCGUUCGAAGCGGUGUCACUUGGCGUCGGUCAGGUGUUCGCAUAGGUCCAGCGUAUCCCACCUGCGGCCAGCGUAGUCCUGUGGCGCACGAGCGCUUGCGUCAUCGCUCGCUACAUGCCGUUGACGGGUGCUGAAGGCUCUGCGCUCGAUGCUCUCCUCGGGUUCCGGGCUCGGUGCUGUACGCUAUGAUCACGGUCUGCUUGGGGCGUUCCGGCGGGGAGUAAGCUGCUGGUCGCCCGCGCAAGUGCACGCUGGCCCAUGCUGUGCAUGUCUUGUGGAACGCGAUGUUGCCCAUGGCGAUAUCAGUAACGAAAGGGAAACCCAGGCUGGAUGUUAGGCAGAGAAAUUCGAUUUCUCCGUGCCGAAUUUGCGCAGACUGGUGAUGCAUGCUCUAUGGGAAGUGAUCGCUGCGAUGGCUCAAGUCUGGGUCCGAGACCCAUUUCUAUGGAAACAAAAGAGAUGGGAUUGUCUGGAAGCGUAUCCCCUGAGAGGAGUCAUGCUGCCGCGGAAUGCUGUAUCGUUGACUGCCACAGCGAGGAGGAUAUGGAUUUCGAACGGACUCGAUUGUUUCACCUGACAAGUUCUAUGAACUAUCGCCAUGAGCUAGUUGAGAAGUCGUCAAGUGACGACGACGACGACGUGUUUCGUUUCGCCGUCGAUUUGGCGGCGCAAGUUGCCUUACCUACGAGUUACCUUGAAAUGGAAAGAUUGAAAACAUGAGGCACGCGCGACUUGACCAUGGUACGCGUCACUAGAGGAGAAGCUUGUAGACUUGUACGUAUGCAUUGGAUGAUGGUGUCAGUUUUUUAGGAAUUCGUGUUUGAGAGCGUCGCGAAACACCUCGAUUCCAGUGACGUAACGAGUUCGAAACGCAACUCAUCGAAAAAGUCACUUCGAAAAGGCGGCCACAAAUCCUAGAACAACGCACGAAUCCGUAAGCUCUUAUUGCUGCCCGCUACAUGCCGAGGCUUUACAUGUAAAUAAAGCUCGGAACAAAUCGCAAGACAGGAACAGAGCGAGCAGUUCAGUGUUCCAUGUGAAUCUGACAUGAAUGCAGGCAACGCAUGCACAAAGGAUGCCAGUUGCGAUUCAGGGACAUGAGCAUGUAUCAGCGUAUAUCUCAUGGUUUCACCAACACAGUUCAUUCACUGCAUUUUGAUUGCAUUUCAAAGGGUACCUGAAAAUCAUCUGCUCGUCGUGGAGAACCCUCAUUAGCGUUCGGUACUGUGGGCUUCGACUGCUGCGCACUAUCGCGGUAUCGACGCUGGAAAACAAGCAAGGCGCUCAUUUUCGCGGGCUGCAUGGCUUUCCUCUCGCAAUGUCUGGACUCGUGGUUCGCUUGUACCCGACGUUUCCGUGGCCAUAUCCGGGCACUGGACAUCGACAAGGAUCGACAUGCAUCGUGCGAUGGUCGGGUUCCAGCCUCCAUGAAUGCAGCUGCACUGACGGCCAUGGGCGAUCACAACUGGCUUGGCUGGCUGGCUGGCUGGCUGGCGGGCGGGCGGGCUGGCAGGGUGUCCACAUGACGUUCUCGACCCUCAAAUUUAAGUUCCGACACGCCCAGAGCUCCGUUUCCCUGCGAAAUAUAUAUGCUUCCCUGAAUGCAUGUAACAUAGCGCUCUCAAACCGACGCCCUCAAGCGUACGGAGAAACCGCUCUGUCUCAGUACCGUGUCCGUCCGUAGCUGCGCGACAGGCGCCUUCCUCAUAGAUCACCGAACGAUUCGAACACGGAACCCGGUUCGAACGAACUGGUAACUCCACUGUGCACGAUGGGUAACGGUUCGUAAUAUUCGAUGGCAUGAUGUAGAAUAACGGAUGUCGUUGUUUCCCUUGAUACCGAUAAGCGUCGACCAGUUGCGGAUCCCCGGUUCGAUGCACCAAUUCUACGCCAAAAACAGCGUCUGCAUCAUGUCACGUGUGACAUCCCCAUAGGCGCCCCCAGGGCCACUGCCAUCGGAAAAGAACGCGUAUCGAUCGCUCGAUGCAUUCGACCUGUCUGCAGGUGGCGCACCGCACGAAAGGUGGGGUUUCAGCGGCUCUCCAGUUUAGAGGACCGGAGGGCAGCGCCCUUUCCUGACGCCAUGUACGGAUCCAUACGCGGGAGGUGCCUCUAAGCUCCGCCACUGCCUGGUUGCGGAGGCGCUGCGGCCUUUGUUGAACGCAGGCAGGGCGAAAAACGAACACACCCCAUGCCUUUUACUUGCGGUGUCCGGGCGGAGUUUAGUGAGGACCGGUGUUGGCAGGGAGCUUUCGGAAGCUUUUUCUGCAUGAGACACAGUGUUCACAGGGCCUCCUCGUUACUUGGAUUCGUAUGUGGACCGGGACUGGGCGCCAGAGCGAAACUCGAGCUGUCGAGCACGCGCUGCCUGUAAAGUUUGCCUGCUCCCCAGCAGAAUCGUCUUUGGACGACCGGCUUGAGGGAGUAUAUGGAAUUUUUCGU